GCCGGAGUGGCGGAAUUGGUAGACGCAGUGGACUCAAAAUCCACCGUUCGCAAGGACUUGGGGGUUCGAGUCCCCCCUCCGGCACCA
rnacentral:tRNA from 1 species